UACGUAGGAGGCGAGCGUUGUCCGGAAUUAUUGGGCGUAAAGGGCUCGUAGGCGGUUUGUCGCGUCGGGAGUGAAAUCCCCGGGCUCAACCUGGGAAUGGCGAUGGAUACUGGGCAGCUAGAGUGUGUCAGAGGAUGGUGGAAUUCCCGGUGUAGCGGUGAAAUGCGUAGAGAUCGGGAGGAACAUCAGUGGCGAAGGCGGCAUCCUGGACCGACAUUGACGCUGAGGAGCGAAAGCUAGGGGAGCAAACGGG
rnacentral:rRNA from 1 species